rnacentral:rRNA from 1 species
UACGAAGGGGGCUAGCGUUGUUCGGAAUCACUGGGCGUAAAGGGCGCGUAGGCGGCUUUGUAAGUCGGGGGUGAAAGCCUGUGGCUCAACCACAGAAUUGCCUUCGAUACUGCAUGGCUUGAGACCGGAAGAGGUAAGUGGAACUGCGAGUGUAGAGGUGAAAUUCGUAGAUAUUCGCAAGAACACCAGUGGCGAAGGCGGCUUACUGGCCCGAUACUGACGCUGAGGCACGAAAGCGUGGGGAGCAAACAGG